rnacentral:rRNA from 1 species
AAAAACACUCGAGGGGAUCGCACUGUCGAGGUGCGAUUGUCGACGAUGCGAUUCCGGGACUCGCAGGCGCCCGUCCCCCGCGAGGGUAGAGGCGUCAAGGUGCCACCGGGG